AUUGAACGCUGGCGGCAGGCCUAACACAUGCAAGUCGAGCGGAGCGGCGGACGGGUGAGUAAUGCCUAGGAAUCUGACUGGUAGUGGGGGAUAACGUCCGGUACCGGGCGCUAAUACCGCAUACUCUCAGAUGAGCCUAGGGCGGAUUAGCUAGUUGGUGGGGUAAAGGCAUACCAAGGCGACGAUCCGUAACUGGUCUGAGAGGGUGAUCAGUCACACUGGAACUGAGACAAGGUCCAGACUCCUACGGUAGGCAGCAGUGGGGAAUAUUGGAGAAUGGGCGGAAGCCUGAGCCAGCCAUGCCGCGUGUAUGAAGAAGGUCUUCGGGUUGUAAAGCACUUUAAGUUGGGAGGAGUUACCAGCAGAAUAAGCACCGGCUAACUUCGUGCCAGCCGCCGCGGUAAUAC
rnacentral:rRNA from 1 species